AGUCGGACGGCAGCACAGAGAAGCUUGCUUCUUGGGUGGCGAGUGGCGAACGGGUGAGUAAUAUAUCGGAACGUACCGAGUAAUGGGGGAUAACUAAUCGAAAGAUUAGCUAAUACCGCAUAUUCUCUGAGGAGGAAAGCAGGGGACCUUCGGGCCUUGCGUUAUUCGAGCGGCCGAUAUCUGAUUAGCUAGUUGGUGGGGUAAAGGCCUACCAAGGCGACGAUCAGUAGCGGGUCUGAGAGGAUGAUCCGCCACACUGGGACUGAGACACGGCCCAGACUCCUACGGGAGGCAGCAGUGGGGAAUUUUGGACAAUGGGCGCAAGCCUGAUCCAGCCAUGCCGCGUGUCUGAAGAAGGCCUUCGGGUUGUAAAGGACUUUUGUCAGGGAAGAAAAGGUUGUUGCUAAUAUCAACAGCUGAUGACGGUACCUGAAGAAUAAGCACCGGCUAACUACGUGC
rnacentral:rRNA from 1 species